rnacentral:misc_RNA from 1 species
GUGAAUCAUCGAAUCUUUGAACGCAAAUUGCACUCUCCGGUUUUCCGGGAGAGUAUGCCUGUUUGAGGGCCAGCAUAAAAAAAACCGACAUCGUUGCUGUUUCGCGGUGGCGUUCGUCGGAAAUUGGGUCAUCUUAAAUUCUUUAGAUUUAAGCGACUUAAAAUUUUCUUUUGGUUCAAUGAACGUUUCUAAGAUCUAUUUCUUUACACGUUUAAGGUAUCGAUUUUUACUAGACGUGACCAUCAUAUCGGAUCGGGUGUUUAAUUUUUUAUU